rnacentral:tRNA from 1 species
CUAGGCGGCGAGUUGUAGCCUCGUACAGGGGGAAAAAUAGGGGUCCUCUGCUACC